rnacentral:rRNA from 1 species
UACGUAGGGUGCGAGCGUUAAUCGGAAUUACUGGGCGUAAGGCGUGCGCAGGCGGUCGUGCAAGACAGGUGUGAAAUCCCCGGGCUUAACCUGGGAACUGCACUUGUGACUGCACGGCUGGAGUACGGCAGAGGGGGAUGGAAUUCCGCGUGUAGCAGUGAAAUGCGUAGAUAUGCGGAGGAACACCGAUGGCGAAGGCAGUCCCCUGGGCCUGUACUGACGCUCAUGCACGAAAGCGUGGGGAGCAAACAGG